rnacentral:rRNA from 1 species
GACGAACGCUGGCGGCGUGCCUAACACAUGCAAGUCGAACGGAGAUACGAUUUCGGUUGUAUCUUAGUGGCGAACGGGUGAGUAACGCGUGAGCAACCUGACCUUCAGAGGGGGAUAACAUUUGGAAACAGAUGCUAAUACCGCAUAAGACCACGACCCGACAUCGGGAUGAGGUCAAAGGAGCAAUCCGCUGGAGGAGGGGCUCGCGUCCCAUUAGAUAGAUGGCGGGGUAACGGCCCACCAUGUCGACGAUGGGGAGCCGAGCUGAGAGGCUGAUCGGCCACACUGGAACUGAGACACGGUCCAGACUCCUACGGGAGGCAGCAGUGGGGAAUAUUGGGCAAUGGGCGCAAGCCUGACCCAGCAACGCCGCGUGAGGGAAGAAGGCUUUCGGGUUGUAAACCUCUGUCCUUGGUGACGAAACAAAUGACGGUACCUCAGGAAUAAGUCUCGGCUAACUACAUGCCAGCCGCCGCCGUAAUAC